rnacentral:rRNA from 1 species
UGAACUGGGUGACUAGAGUGUGUCAGAGGGAGGUAGAAUUCCACGUGUAGCAGUGAAAUGCGUAGAGAUGUGGAGGAAUACCGAUGGCGAAGGCAGCCUCCUGGGAUAACACUGACGUUCAUGCUCGAAAGCGUGGGUAGCAAACAGGAUUAGAUACCCUGGUAGUCCACGCCCUAAACGAUGUCAAUUAGCUGUUGGGCAACUUGAUUGCUUAGUAGCGUAGCUAACGCGUGAAAUUGACCGCCUGGGGAGUACGGUCGCAAGAUUAAAACUCAAAGGAAUUGACGGGGACCCGCACAAGCGGUGGAUGAUGUGGAUUAAUUCGAUGCAACGCGAAGAACCUUACCUGGUCUUGACAUGUACGGAAUCCUCCAGAGACGGAGGAGUGCCUUCGGGAGCCGUAACACAGGUGCUGCAUGGCUGUCGUCAGCUCGUGUCGUGAGAUGUUGGGUUAAGUCCCGCAACGAGCGCAACCCUUGUCAUUAGUUGCCAUCAUUAAGUUGGGCACUCUAAUGAGACUGCCGGUGACAAGCCGGAGGAAGGUGGGGAUGACGUCAAGUCCUCAUGGCCCUUAUGACCAGGGCUUCACACGUCAUACAAUGGUCGGUACAGAGGGUAGCCAAGCCGCGAGGUGGAGCCAAUCUCACAAAACCGAUCGUAGUCCGGAUUGCACUCUGCAACUCGAGUGCAUGAAGUCGGAAUCGCUAGUAAUCGCAGGUCAGCAUACUGCGGUGAAUACGUUCCCGGGUCUUGUACACACCGCCCGUCACACCAUGGGAGUGGGGGAUACCAGAAGUAGGUAGGGUAACCGCAAGGAGCCCGCUUACCACGGUAUGCUUCAUGACUGGGGUGAAGUCGUAACAAGGUAGCCGUAGGGGAACC